rnacentral:misc_RNA from 1 species
CAAACCUCAAGCUUCUGCUUGGUAUUGGGCUUCGUCCGCUGAGGACGUGCCUGAAACACGUAGGCAGUGGUGUCGAUCUCCCAGCGUAGUCAAAUUCUACCCGCUACGGAGCAUAGGCGUCGCCCGCCGGAUAACCUCAUAUUUUCUAUG